rnacentral:lncRNA from 1 species
GAAACGAAAUAUGGAAUAACAAUGGCCAUUUUCCUGACUUGGUACAGGACAUUUUUAAAAAAAAAAUGGUGGGUUGAACCUGGUUUUGUGGCAUGCCAAACCUCGCACUUUAAUGGCAAUGUUAAAUAUAACAUUAAAAUGACAACAUAAUAUUACAGGACUACAAUACAAAUAAAUAGGAGAACGUAUUAGGCAAAGAAACACAUGAAUAAUAGAUAACAAAAGGCAUCAGGUUUAAAAUUCAAUACGCCAAAAACGCGCCUCGUCCACACAAGACUCAUCAGUGACGCCCAGAUAUAAAAGUUCGAAAGUCAAAAAAAGUACAAAAUUGUACAGCACUGAGGAUCAAAAGUUGAAAAAGGUUGUGCCCAAUACGGCUAGGGCUUUCUGCUAGUG